GAUGAACGCUGGCGGCGUGCCUAAUACAUGCAAGUCGAGCGAACAGACGAGGAGCUUGCUCCUCUGACGUUAGCGGCGGACGGGUGAGUAACACGUGGAUAACCUACCUAUAAGACUGGGAUAACUUCGGGAAACCGGAGCUAAUACCGGAUAAUAUAUUGAACCGCAUGGUUCAAUAGUGAAAGACGGUUUUGCUGUCACUUAUAGAUGGAUCCGCGCCGCAUUAGCUAGUUGGUAAGGUAACGGCUUACCAAGGCAACGAUGCGUAGCCAACCUGAGAGGGUGAUCGGCCACACUGGAACUGAGACACGGUCCAGACUCCUACGGGAGGCAGCAGUAGGGAAUCUUCCGCAAUGGGCGAAAGCCUGACGGAGCAACGCCGCGUGAGUGAUGAAGGUCUUCGGAUCGUAAAACUCUGUUAUUAGGGAAGAACAAAUGUGUAAGCAACUAUGCACGUCUUGACGGUACCUAAUCAGAAAGCCACGGCUAACUACGUG
rnacentral:rRNA from 1 species